UGGGUGCUGGGAUUCAAACAUGGGUCCUCUGGAAGAGAAGCCAUUGUUCUUAAUCUCUGAGUCAUCUCCCCAGCCACCAAACUGCUUCCUUUUUCCAACACUGUACAGGUAGGUUUCAGCUCCAAGUCUGAUUCCUGAUUUCAGUAGCGGCACAAGGAACAAGAUACCACAGUCUCAGACCUGCAUAAGAUGGUGACAUCAAUUAAUAUUUGAAGAAUGAAUGAAUUAGUAAAGGAAUAGACAGAAGUCUUUGGAACAAGCUCCUAUCAACAGAACAUUACUCUAGAGGACAGAAUGCCACACAAAGCUGGUGUGUGUGUGUGUGUGUGUGUGUGUGUGUGUGUGUGUUAUGUGUAUGUGCAUCCCUUUAAUCCCAGCACUCAGGAGGCAGAGACUGGCAGACUCUGAGUUCAAGACCAGCCUGGCCUACAGAGCUGGUUCCAGGACAUCCAGGGCUACACAGAGAACCUGUCUUGAAAAACCAAAAAAACACACUGAAGAGGGGACUGAAGAACCAACAGUUGAGACUUAUACUCCUGUCCUAUCUGAAAGGCCUGUGCUUGCCCAGCCUUGUGCUGUGUAACAGUUUUCUCCAAGAUUGAAAUACUCCAUCUUCCAUGGAAGCGCCUUAAGACAGAAGGUGAACAACUCAAAAUAGCUUCAAGAAGUCCCUGAAACCAACCAGAUUCUCUAGGCCCCUCCCUCUCAGAGUGAGUAAGUCACAGACUGCUGAGAUGAGCCAAACUGAAAAGGAAACUGGCAUAAGCCCAGCUGCCUGGAAGAAGCAGAAAAUUGUGGAUCAACCUGGAGGAGGCUUAGAUCAGCUGAUCUUCCUAGAAGGAACACUCUCCAACCUGUUGAGCACCUGAAGACUGUGCAGUGUGCUCCAGGUUCCCAGCUUUGUGAGCUGUCACUCAUGCUUGGGUGGGCUUUGGUGAUGCAUCUGUCUUUGAGUCAUUUCUGAUUCUAUAAAUAACCCCUCAUCCAUAUUCCUGUAAGCAACCCCAAUAAAACUCACUGGUUCACCUAGUUGGACUUUGGUGAUAUCUGUACUUUGGUCUGUUGUGUGAUCCUUACUGGGAUGAGUAGACAUACGUGUGUGUGUGUGUG
ensembl:lncRNA